AACGAACGCUGGCGGCAGGCCUAACACAUGCAAGUCGAACGCCGUAGCAAUACGGAGUGGCAGACGGGUGAGUAACACGUGGGAACGUACCCUUCGGUUCGGGAUAACUCAGGGAAACUUGAGCUAAUACCGGAUACGUCCGAGAGGAGAAAGAUUUAUCGCCGAGGGAUCGGCCCGCGUCUGAUUAGCUUGUUGGUGAGGUAACGGCUCACCAAGGCGACGAUCAGUAGCUGGCUGAGAGGAUGAUCAGCCACAUUGGGACUGAGACACGGCCCAAACUCCUACGGGAGGCAGCAGUGGGGAAUAUUGGACAAUGGGCGCAAGCCUGAUCCGGCCAUGCCGCGUGAGUGAUGAAGGCCCUAGGGUUGUAAAGCUCUUUUGUGCGGGAAGAUAAUGACGGUACCGCAAGAAUAAGCCCCCGGCUAACUUCGUGCCAGCCGCCGCAGUAAAACCG
rnacentral:rRNA from 1 species